UUCUUUCACUCCUCGAUGCAGUAUAUUUUAAAGUUUAAUGCUGUUAUUGCUAUUGAUGUGCUGGAGAUUGGACUGAGAACCCCACAUGUGCCAUGCAAGUGUUCUACUACUAGUACAGUACACCUUCAUCACCCAGCUUCAUUAUUAAGUCUACAUGAUUUAGGCCUCAAGAAGCUGCACAGUACACCCAGAUGGUUUUGCAGGAUGCAUUAAGGGCUGGAGACAGAAGGGAAUGCUACACCAGCCUUGACUUGUGCUGGCUGAGAUGUGUGUCCAAGAAGCCUGUCCCAGUUGAUUCAGGAGGACUCAGUGAACCGAUGGUGCGCAUUGACCAAUGUAAGGAGACGACAUCAGUGACCUGGUUUAGCACCCCAGAACCCCCCUGGAAGCCUGGAGCCUGGCCCUGGGUAUGACAGCUGCUGACAGGUGAGAUCCCACCUGUGCCCGCCAAGCAAACAGAAUGAGAGACGGAUUGUUAUCUGAUCCCAGCACCCACAACAGGCCUGCUCUCUAGCAAGAAGACAUGCAAUAACUGAAUAAAUAAGUGUGCAAACCUGUGGGACUGGUUGCCUCUUGGACAAGAUCCAAAGGAGAAGCCCAAGGAGGGAAUGGUAUUCAUUUUUCCUAAAGGACAACUUGUCCCCUAAACUCAGCAAUGCUCAUGCUACCCAGUUCUUGGCAGGGGACUCAGCUCUGAUUUGGAAUGUUGACCAUUUCCUCCAGAUUUAGGCACCAGUCUCACUGUGAUAAAUGGCCUGUGUGCCUCACAGCAUUUAAUGGCAAAUCCGG
rnacentral:lncRNA from 1 species